UUCCGGUUGAUCCUGCCGGAGGUUACUGCUAUCGGUGUUCGACUAAGCCAUGCAAGUCAUAUGUUCCUCGUGAACAUGGCAUACUGCUCAGUAACACGUGGAUAACCUGCCCUUGGGUCUGGGAUAACCCCGGGAAACUGGGGAUAAUACCGGAUAACGCAUAUGUGCUGGAAUGCUUUAUGCGUAAAAUGGAUUCGUCCGCCCAAGGAUGGGUCUGCGGCCUAUCAGGUAGUAGUGGGUGUAAUGUACCUACUAGCCAACAACGGGUACGGGUUGUGAGAGCAAGAGCCCGGAGAUGGAUUCUGAGACAUGAAUCCAGGCCCUACGGGGCGCAGCAGGCGCGAAAACUUUACAAUGCGGGAAACCGUGAUAAGGGAACACCGAGUGCCAGCAUCAUAUGCUGGCUGUCCAGAUGUGUAAACUACAUCUGUUAGCAAGGGCCGGGCAAGACCGGUGCCAGCCGCCGCGGUAACACCGGCGGCCCGAGUGGUGACCGUUAUUAUUGGGUCUAAAGGGUCCGUAGCCGGUUUGGUCACUCCUCCGGGAAAUCUGAUAGCUUAACUGUUAGGCUUUCGGGGGAUACUGCCAG
rnacentral:rRNA from 1 species